GCAGCCACAGUUGCUGCGAGAAGCCAGGAGUCUCCUAUUUGUCUGCUCUCCUCCAAACGGAGAUCUGUCCACCAGGGAAGGAGAUCCUCCAUCCUGGUUUAGUCUAAAAGAUGACAUGCACGCUUUUGGUUGGUUAGUUAUGGCCUUGCUUGGUGACAUGAACUCCUUUCAGGGAAUAACCGCCCCACAGCUGGCACUGCAAAGGAGUUUGGAGAGGGCUGCCAUCUGUAUUGUGGGCCAUAGAGCCAGGAGGCCAGGCUGAAUAACUUCACAGGGAACUCUGAAUUGCUUGAACUGAUCUUGGUAAUGCCUGAUGGUCUAUCUGAAUUGAAUUUUGGUUCCUCAAGGGUUCCUCAAGAUUAUAGACUCUAAGGUCCAGACUGUGACAGGUUCUUGUGUGACUGUGCAGGAGCAUGCUAUAAGUAUACACAUGGAUUGCUCCCUCAGUGUGCCUUUGCGGGGUAUAUGGCAACCCAUGUGUGGUGGGAAGUAUGCAAGCUCAUGGUCCUGCAGGAUCCCUGCCCUGCUCUGGACUGUUGACUGGGCCUGCUGCAUUGCAGGGAGCAGACUGCACCAUCUUGCCCCUGUGCACCAACAGGCCAGCAUGCUCCAUGCCCCAUCCUCAUUCACUACACAACAAUGCCUCACUUUCUAUCCAGCCUGCCCCCUGAAUGAGGCAGGAUCCUGUGAAGAAAACAAUAUAUGAUCAUGUAAUUAAAGAUUACAUCAUAAUGCAUGAGUAAUAUGCAAAGUGGGCAUAGACAUAAGGAUGUAAAUACUAUUAUUUAGUAGUGGCAUAGCCAGGUUCUAUUCCUGACUCACCACUUGCCUGCUGAGUGGCCUUGGGGAAGUCAAAUCACCUUUCUGUGCACCAGUUUCCCCAUCUGUGAAAUGGGGAUAAUGAUACUGACCAUCUUUGUAAAGGGUUUUGAGAUCUACUGAUGAGAGGUGCUAUAUAAGAGCUAGGUGUUUCUAUUGCAUUAUUUAAGCUAUAGGAUGUAAGAAUAUGAGGUAAGUGUGGAAUGUCAGUUUUGGAGCAUUUACAUUUGGAAUUUGUAUCUGUGUGAAGAAGUUCUAAACCCC